rnacentral:rRNA from 1 species
GAUGAACGCUGGCGGCGUGCCUAAUACAUGAAAGUCGAGCGAAGCGGGGACGGGUGAGUAACACGUGGAUAACCCCCUAUAAGACUGGGAUAACUUCGGGAAACCGGAGCCAAACCGGAUAAUUAUAGAAGGAUCGGCGCUGCAUUAGCUAGUUGGUAAGGUAACGGCUUACCAAGGCAAUGAUGCAUAGCCGACCUGAAAGGAGGAUCAGCCACCAUGGAACUGAGACACGGUCCAGACUCCUACGGGAGGCAGCAGUAGGGAAUCUUCCACAAUGGGCGAAAGCCUGACGGAGGUACGCCGCGUGAGUGAUGAAGGUCUUCGGAUCGUAAAACUCUUUUAUUGAGGAAGCGUUACCUAAUCAGGAAGCCACGGCUAACUACGUGCCAGCAGCCGCGGUAAUAC